CAUGAGCGUGCUGCAGUAUUCGGUCAGCGUGCCCUGGCGGUUCUCGGCGGCCCGUUGCCCGUCGAACCACCUGGGAGCUGGCACCACAGAAGAUGAGGUCAAGCCCGAGAGGGGUCGGAGAGGCAGAGAGAUGGGCAUUUGCAUCAGGACCUGCUCAGCAAUGGCAAGGAACUAUGCCACAGGACAACAUGGUGGAAUCUUCCAGACACAUCGCUGAGGGAAGGAAGGCAGAUACAGAGCACAUGUUCUGCAGGACAUCAUUUAGACGAGACUUGAAACCUGCCCAAGCCAGGCUGUGAUGUUGGAAGCCAGGGUGACUUCUGGGGUGAUGCUGGGGACAUGGUGACAGGAGGGAGUGGGAGGUGAUGGCUGACGUUUGCCUCCUCUCCAGAUAGAUGCUAGUGAGACCGGGCACAGUGGCUCACACCUGUAAUCCCAGCGCUUUGGAAGGCCGAGGUGGGUGGAUCACCUGAGGUCAGGAGUUCGAGACCGGCCUGACCAACAUGGAGAAACUCCAUCUCUACUAAAAAUAUAAGAACUAGCCCGGUGUGGUGGCACAUGCUUGUAAUCUCAGCACUUUGGGAGGCCAAGACGUACGGAUCAUCUGAGGUCAGGAGUUCAAGACCAGCCUGCCCAACAUGGUAAAACCCCAUCUCUACUGAAAAUACAAAAAUUAGCCAGGCGUGGUGGUAGGCACCUGUAAUCCCAACUACUUGGGAGGCUGAGACAAGAGAAUCACUUGAAACAGAGAGGUUGAGGUUGCAGUGAGCUGAGAUCACAGCACUGCACUCCAGCCUAGGCAACAGAAUGAAACUUUGUCUCAGGAAAAAAAAAAAAAAAAAAAAGGCUCAGCACAGAUGCCAGACCGACAGUGGUGCCCACCUGGGCACAUCGAGGCAGGGCAGACGAAGGCUCUGGUGGGGCCUGUUGCAAGCCAAGCCUUUUGUGGGUUCUCAGCACUUCCUUCCCUUGCUCCAGCGGUCUUUCCAGUCUUGCAAAACUGCCUGGCCAGGGUGCUUGUCCUGCAGGCACCCCCUGGCUGUGAUCUUCCACUCUCCUCCUGUGGCCUCCCAAGACCCCGUCAUGCUCCCACAAGGCGCUCCGCAGACAGGGGAUGCCCAGCAUGUGUGUGGGGUGAGCAGAGGCAGGAAGUUGACAGCUUCAGCUUGGCCUUGUCAUGUCCUCUGUAAGCAGGCUCACAGCCUUCUUUCAGGAUGACGUACGAUUUUGUUUCCACUUUUUAUUUUCAUUUAAUUUUUUUUCUUUUUUUCCUUUUUGUAGAGUGGGGGGUCUUGAGAUGUUGCUCAGCCCGGCCUCGAACUCCAGUCUCAAACGAUCCUCCUGGCUCAGCCUCCCAAAACACUGGGAUUACAGGUGUGAGCCAGGGUGCCUGGCCAGGAUGAAACACAUUUUCAAAUGAUUUUUUUUUUUUUUUUUUUUUGAGAUGGAGUUUAGCUCUUGUUACCCAGACUGGAGUGCAAUGGCGCAAUCUCGGCUCACCGCAACCUCCGCCCCCUGGGUUCAGGCAAUUCUCCUGCCUCAGCCUCCUGAGUAGCUGGGAUUACACGCACGCACCACCGUGCCCAGCUAAUUUUUUGUAAUUUUUAGUAGAGACGGGGUUUCACCAUGUUGACCAGGAUGGUCUCGAUCUGUUGACCUCGUGAUCUACCCGCCUCGGCCUCCCAAAUGAUUUUUUUAAUUUAAAAAAAAAAAAGAAAAGAUCAGAGCAGUGGCUCACACCUGUCAUUCCAGCACUUUGGGAGGCUGAGGCAGGCGGAUCACCUGAGGUCAGGAGUUUGAGACCAGCCUGGCCAACAUGGUGAAACCACACCUCUACUAAAAAUACAAAAAUUAGCUGGGUGUGAUGGUGGGCGCCUGUAAUCCCAGCUACAUGGGAGGCUAAGGCAGGAGAAUCACUUGAACCCGGGAGGUGGAGGUUGCAGUGAGCUGAGGUGGCGCCACUGAAUCCAGCCUGGGUGACAGAGCAAGACUCUGUCUCUAAAAAAAUAGUAAGAUAAAAUAAAAGUGAAGGAAGGAAGUAAUAACAGAUAUGACAUUUAAAUAGAAUUUCUUUUUUUUUUUUUUUUUUGAGAUGGAGUUUUUCUCUGUCACCCAGGCUAGAGUGCAAUGGCAUGAUCUUGGCCCACUGCAGCCUCUGCCUCCUGGAUUCAAGGAAUUCCCUGCCUCAGCCUCCUCAGUAGCUGAAAUUACAGGCACCCACCACCACCCACGACUAAUUUUUGUAUUCUUAAUAGAUGGUGUUUUGCCAUCUUGGCCAGGCUGGUCUUGAACUUCUGACCUCGUGAUCCACCUGCAAUGACAAGGAACUGUCCCACAGGACGACACAGUGGAAUCUUCCAGACACAUCGCUGAGGGAAGGAAGGCAGACACAGAGCACAUGUUCUGGAGGACAUGAUUUAUCUGGAGGCUUGUGCUGGGAUUACAAGGCGUGAGCCAUUAUGCCCAGCCAGAAAUAGAAUUUCUAAAAAUGUUUGUAUUGUGAAAUGUAUAGAAACCACAUCUGUAUUAGCCGGGCGUGGUGGUACGGCUUGAAUCCAGGAGGUGGAGGUGGCAGUGAGCCGCUCUCACCAUUGCACUCCAGUCUGAGCGGCAGAGUAUACUCCAUCUCGAGGGAGAGAGAGAGAAGAAGAAAAAAGCAUACUGCAUAUCUUACCUAAUUAAUAGAAACCAGACAGCUGGAUGUUAGAACAACACCAGUGCCCCCGAAAUUCCCCCACGUCCUGAGUGCUAACAGGAAGGGCCCCCGCCCACCACCCUGCCUAUUCUAAGGGCCCCCGAAGAGAGUCAGACGCUAUUCUAAGGGCUUUCUAUUGACCAUCAUCACAUCUUCCCCUCACAAUGAGGCUUUCGGGUAGUAGGUACAAGUUUCCCCACCUCACAGAUGGGGAAAACAGAGAGAAAAGCAGGUUUUCACAGCUAGUAAACGCAGAACUGGGAUUUGCUUUUGUUCUGAGACGGAGUCUCGCUCUGUCGCCCAGGCUGGAGUGUAGCGGUGCAAUGCUGCCUCGCUGCAACCUCUGCCUCCCGGGUUCAAGCAAUUCUGUGUCGGCCUCCCAAGUACCAGAGAUGACAGGCUUGUGCCACCACAUCCGGCUAAGUUUUGUAUUUUUUUGUAGAGACAGGGUUUCACAAUGUUGCCCAGGCUGGUCUCGAACUCCUGGCCUCAAGUGAUCUGCUGGUCUCAGUCUCCCAAAGUGCUGGCAUUACAGGCAGGAGCCAUCAAGCCUGGCUAGAACUGGGAUUGAACUCAAGCAGUCUGGACCCAGGCCCACGAUUUAAUCACACUGCACUUCUAUGCCUUGCCUUUGAACAAUGUGAAUGAAUGAAUGAAUGAAUGAGAGUAGGGGGCUCAUGAGGGAGGCUCUCAGCUCAAGUCUGGCUGGAAAGGAGCAGGGGGCUUCCGGGUCUGAGCUGCCAGUCCUGGUCUUUUUCCAAAUGUCACCUUCCCCACCCUCAGGCCACUUGGUCUUCACCAGAUGGGCUGAGCUCCCCAUUUCCUUAACCAGGAAAUCCCCAAGGCCAGGCCAGGGGGGACCAUAUGGGGAAGGAGGGGGCUUGGCGCCAGGGCACAGGCCCACACAGUGCCCUCUGUGUGGGGAAAGGGAAUCUAGCAGUUCCCAGGAUUGGAGCAAAUCAGCCUUCCCGUAGGACAGUUCUUUCCCAGGUCUAACCUAAGCCUCUCCUGCUGCCUCAUCUUGAGUGACAGCCAGGAUCCAUCCCCUUGGCAGGCCCUGGGUGACGGCCUCCUGGUUGUCCUCCCACAGGACCAGCCCUCCCUCCUGACUUGGGCAGUAGGAUGGGACCCAAGGUACCUGUGACGCUGGCGCUGUGUGACCAAUCCCAGGCUGCACUGGCAGGCAGGUGUCGAUAGGCAGAAAGUCGGGCCCCUCCAGCCUGGCCAACAUGGUGAAACCCUGUCUCUACUAAAAAUACAAAAAUUAGCCAGGCCUGGCGGUGGGCAUCUGUAACCCCAGCUACCCAGGAGGCUGAGGCAAAAGAGUUGCUUAAACCUGGGAGGCAGAGGUGGCAGUGAGCCGAGAUCACGCCACUGCAUUCCAGCCUGGGAGACAGAGUGAGUGAGACUCCAUCUCAAAAAAAAAAAAAAAAAUAGGUCGGUCUCGGUGGCUCACUCCUGUAAUGCCAGCACUUCAGGAGGCUGAGGCAGGUGGAUCACCUGAGGUCAGGAAUUCAAGACCAGCCUGGACAACAUGGAGAAACCCCGUCUCUACUAAAAAUACGAAAAUCAGCUGGGCAUGGUGGUGGGCGCCUGUAAUCCCAGCUACUCGGGAGACUGAGGCAAGAGAAACACUUGAACCCAUGAGGCAGAGGUUGCAGUGAGCCGAGAUCAUGCCACUGCACUCCAAGCUGGGUGACAGAGCGAGACUCCAUCUUCAAAAAACAAACAAACAAAAAAAGCAAAAGAAAUGUGGGUCACUCGCUGCCUCCCCAGGGACCCAUCUUUUUUAAUCAGCCAAAUCACCCAGGCUGGGCUCUGCCUGGCAGGGGUGGACCCGAGGCCUCUGCAGACGGGAAUCAGGGACCUGGCCUUGGGAGACUUGCUCAGGACACAGCUGAACCACAGCCCUGGGAUUCUGUUCUCCCCUCACCCUGACACAGCGCCCUCCAGCCCUUGGCCUUGGGACCCAGCAUUCAACUCAGGGGAGUCAGAUGGAGGCCCAGGCCCGGUGGGGAGACGGGCAGGCUGACAGCUGAGCUGUGCCUGUGCCUGAAGCUCCCUGAGCCUCCAUCUUUUUUUGUUUUUGAGAUGGAGUCUCGCUCUGUUGCCCAGGCUGGAGGGCAGUGGUGUGAUCUCGGCUCACUGCAAACUCUGCUGCCUGGGUUCAAGCAAUUCUCCUGCCUCAGCCUUCCGAGUAGCUGGGACUACCAGCACAUGCCCCACACCCAGCUAACUUUUGUAUUUUUAGUCGAGACAGGGUUUCACCAUGUUGGUCAGGAUGGUCUCAAUCUCCUGACUUCGUGAUCCGCCCACCUCGGCCUCCCAAAGUGCUGGGGUUACGGGGUGUGAGCCGCCGCGCCUGACCACCUCUAUCUUUUCAUCUGUGAAAUGGCUCUAAGCACCGUACCCACUUCAUGGGCUGCCGUGAGGAUUAACUGGGGCCAAGUUCGAGGGCGGCAAUCGUCGGCCAUCACCAGAUCCAGACUGCACCAGGCUGCCUCCAAGGUGCAGGGCAGGGGAACUGCCAGGGAAACUGAGGCACUUUCUGAGAACAUCAGAUCCUCACAAGGCACCCAAGUCCAGAAACUGGGGCUUCCGUUUAGGAAGAUGAACAGUGACCUUCCAGAAGACGGAAGUGGUCACUGGGCAGUGAGUGACCUUCCAGAAGAUGCCACCUUGGUGUGUGACAAGUAUCUGCCCCCAGUGGUUAAGCUUGCCAGGUGCCUUGAAUUUAGAGACCAGAGCUUAGGGUGUGAUGUGGAAAAUAGAAAGGCCUGGGCACUCCAUCUCCCUCUCAGGUGGAACUUUUGGUCUCUGGAGGAAAGAAGCCAGGGGGAGGCCAGGAGGAGGCUCAGAAAAACCAGCCUACUUCAGAAUGAACUGGCGACUGGCUCUCUGUGAGCACCCGGUUCUAGGGUACACAGACCCGGGUCCAAGCUGCAUCCUCAAGCCUCUGAAUAAGACUGGGGCAAUGACAUCCUCAUCGAUAGUUCCAGAACAAUCUCGCAGACCUCAUUUUAUAUGUCAGAUGACUUCAACCAAUUAAAAAAUUAAGGCAGCCAGGCAUGGUGACUCACAUCUGUAAUCCCAACACUUUGGGAGGCCGAGGUGGGAGGAUCACUUGAGGUUGGGAGUUUGAGACCAGCCUGACCAAUAUGGAGAAACUCGAUUCCUUGGCUGGGAUCUAUGAAAAAUACAAAAAUGAGCCAGGUCUGGUGGUACACAGCUGUAAUUACAGCUACUUGGGAGGCUGAGGAAGCAGAAUCGCUUGAACCCAAGAGGCAGAGGUUGUAGUGAGCCGACAUAGUGCCAUUGCACUCCAGCCUGGGCUACGAGAGUG